UCUCGACUAGUAUAUCGGUUUAGUACACGCGCCUGUCAUAUUGCGUGAUGUGCCAUCGCGCGAAAGCUGGGUUCGACUCCCAGGUCGAGAG